CGGCUUUGUGCACAAGGGCGGCCCCUGCAGCUCCUCCUUGCUGCCCCGCAGCAAAACGUCGCCAUGUAAACCCCACACAGUACCACAGAAUCUGUAUGAGACAAAACUUUCUGAAUUUUAGGAUGAGUUUCAGUCAGAACGCCACAUGCAAGAGUCUACAAGGCAAGCAUGUUAAAUUCAGAUUACUACAGGAGCAUCCUCUGUGGUGCUGUGAUCCCAUGUGGCUGCAAAUCAUUAUCAGUGGUUUCCGUUCCUACGGAACUGGAUCUGAUAUUACUUUAUUGUUUAUUUAGAAAGUGGCAAUAUGUUGUUAUACAUGGAAAUACUGUGAGAAAUAAACCUGAUGUUAACAUUGAAUGAGUGCUGCCAAGAUAGCCCAUACUACAGUAGGCCAGUUAGCCUGAAAACAUCCUGGACAAAAUAACAAAACAGGUGCACAAUUCACUUUCUUAUGAACUAACAAUUAGGAAUAAAAUUAAUUCUAAUCAACAUUUUACUGGAUUUUGUUCUCUGGAAAAAAAAAAGUGAAAAUCUGUACAGUUUUUGACUAAGUAUUUCAUGACAUUCAAAUUGAAAUUGCAGCAAUGUGCUUUAUCUGUGAUUCAGACCUUAGAGAUAUUUAAGAUAAGUGAGAUGACAGAUUUUUUUAGAUGUACAUAUUCUUUUGCUUUAUAUGGAUGUGUAAUUUUGUCAUUCAUGACAUUUGUGUAAAUGUGAUGUCCAGAUUCUAACUGUUGUGGAAGGGUUCUAUAGAAUACAGGAUUAAUUUCUGUUCUGUUCACAUGCUGUUUGAUAUCUUUGAAGUAAAUAUCAUACCACAGCUGAUAAUGUUUGCGCAUGGGAGUGUAGGGGUUGUAGAUGACCUCUGAAGACAUCUAGUCCACCCCCACCCCGCUAAUGCAUGUUCCCUACAAUAAGUUACCCAGGAAGGCAUCCAAGUGGGUUUUGAAUAUCUCCAGAGAAGACUCCACAGCCUUUCUGGGCAGCCUUUUCCAGUGCUCAGUAACCCUCAAAGAAGUUUAUCCUCAUGUUUUGACAGAACUUCCUGUGUUCCAGUUUGUGCCCAUUACCCCUUGUUCUGUUGCUGGGCACCGUUGAAAAGAGCCUGGCCUCAUCUACUUGACUGCUGCCCAUUAGAUAUUUGUAAGCAUUGAUAAGAUCCUCGCUCAGUGUCCUCUGAGCUGAGCAGUUCCAGGUAUCUCAGCUUUUCCUUGUAAGGGAAAUGUUCCAGUCAUCAUCAGGAUGACACACAGGCUGACAAAUCAUUAACUAAUAAUGGGUCUAGCACAUUUGUACAGAAUGACCUAGAGCAGUUAUAAUGCUGGACCAUUUCUGAGAAGAAAUGGCUUCAAGCUGCGCCAGGGAAGGUUCAGGCUGGACGUUAGGAAAUACUGCUCUGAAAGGGUGGUCAGGCACUGGAAUGGGCUGCCCAGAGAGGUGGUGGAGUCACCGAGCCUGGUGGUGUUCAAAGAGCGUUUGGAUGUUGUGUUGAGGGACAUGGUUUAGUGAGAACCAUUGGUGAAGGGCAAACGAAUGGUUGGACUGGAUGAUCCUGUGGGUCUUUUCCAACCGUAGCGAUUCUGAUUCUAUGAUUCUAAGAUGUGUUUUAUUUCAGCCAUACACAAAACUUUAUGUGUGAGAAUAGAGUAUUAUUCAUUGUGUUAUAGUAUGUAACGACUCCAGAAAUGACUGUAUUAAGAAAUAAAUGAAAAUGUGUAAUGUAACGCUGAGGAAAAAAAUUAUGUACAUAUUAUAUAUAUAUAAUUCCAUAUAUGUGAUAUUUAUGUAGGUAAACAAAGAAUAAGUUUAUGAACAGAUAUUUAUUUCUUCUUGAAGUUUUGAUUAGACUACGAUUGAAAUGCUACUUAAAGAGCUAGUGUGGAACUACCAUAAAAGGAAAUUGAAAAUCUACAGUCAGUGUAAAACUAGUCAAAUGUAAAAACAGUCAUAAAAAUGACUGGGGAGAAUUCUCUAAUAAAAAUGGUAAGGAAUGUGAGAGCCAACAGAAGGAGCUGGCUGCAGUGUGCCUAACUUCACCUUGGACAGAUUCUUCAGAAGGCAUUGCACAGCUGGAAUUCAGAGCAAUCCUCUGAUACCACACACUGAGAAGACUGUUGGAACUUACUUAUCUCAGAUGACAAGUUUUAUAUGGAAAAUCAAACUAGGUACUCCAUUUUUUAUAAUCCUUUCAUGUCAGCAUAUCCAUCAUAAAGUAAUUUAGAAAUGAACUGUAGCAAAUCUCUUGUAAUUAGAGACAGUAAAUGCCCUCAACGUGAUCUUGUGAAAGAGCCAUGGAAGAAGAGCUUUGCGUUGCCUUGCUUCAGUGAGGGCAUAUGGGCAGUGCCAUGCUUGGAUUGCAGAGCUGGAUCUCCUGCUCCUAUGGCUCCUCUGCACAGCUUUGAAGGUCUGUAUCUGUGUAUCUGCCUCUACUAAUGUGCAUCCUACAAAACAGGCACAAACAUUCGUAGCUUAUUAUGCCCUAUUUAAGGCCACAGUAAGACACCCAAAAACCUAGAUUUCAGGGAUGAAGAACAAUAAAGAUAUCGUACAAGUUUGCUCUGGAAUAAGAAUUGUGCUAUGGUCACACCAGUGUGGACUGCCUGAAUAUAAAUAUUAUUUUUCAUACUGAAUUUAACUUCCUCUUCAUAUGUAUGUGUGUGCAUAUGUAUCUAUGUAUAUAUAUGUGUGUUUAUUCACAAGAAUGUAACAGCUUCUAGUGGGUUGAAGCAGGCAGUGGGGUGUUCUCUCUAUUCAUACAUUUCUGCUUUUUAAUAGUGUCUAUUCAGAGCAAUACAAAAGCCUGAUUGAAUGCUGGGAGAAAUUUUGUAUCGUAGAGUCAUUUAAAUGUGGACUGGGGCAUUCUCUGGACAGUUACAUAAAAAUGACAAGUGACCCUCUGUACAAUAGUUGCUUUCAACAUGAUCCAAGGCCAAGGCAGGCUUUUGACAGUUACAUAAUGCAGAUGGGUUCUGAUCAGCCAACACUAAAAUGUUCAGCACUGCACAAAAUGAGAAUCAUAUUUAUCUAAAAACUGAAACAAACAAACAAACAAAAAACAGACAAAAGUUUUCAUCUUCAGAAUGCCAAUUAAUUCUCCAUGUAAUUAAAUUCAAAUUUAGAAAUCUUUAUUUCAGUCUGAACGCUAAUGGGAAGAUUGGGAAAGGCUUAAGUAUGAAUCUGGGAGUUCGAACUUUGAUGCCUUUUUGUUUGAAUACAUUUUCUGUGCAUUGUACAUGUUUUAUGAAAUGGCAGAUCUAUCUGGGAUAUACAUCUAGCAUAUAUAUGUGGUAUUUUUCUGUGUAUGAUAUGUGUGUUUUUUAUUAAGAAAUAUUUUACUAUGCCUUUAAAAUAACUGUAGAAUAUUUUGGGUACUGAAUUCACUAAUCCAAAUAAUAUAGCUUUUUCACUAGCAUGCUGCCACCUCUGUUUUUCUUGUUGCUUUUUCCACUGCAAAAAUUGUUCCUUAGUGCUUUAUGCUUAUUUGCAAUUCCUUAGGCCAAAACAAUAAUUUCACUGAAAAAAAACAUCAAGAAUCUAUCUGAAAAAAUAAAAUACACAUGCAUCAGUAAACACCACAUUGCAGCAGUGUGCAUUUCCUCUACUCCAAAUGGUAAUAAAGUCUUAAACUACAUGGAAUUGUGGCAUUUCACUGAACUGAAUUUAUACUGCAAAAGCCAAAGGCUUUACAAACAUAUUUUUAAUAUGCUGCAGGGGAGCUAUAUCACAGGCUUGCUAUCUCUACUAUCAUUUUUUCACUGUAACCCAAAGAGAAACCUGUUCCUAUUGAAGGAUAAUUUAUGGUCAUCCUUAAAUUCUUUCUUUCAUUUCCAAGUUGACAACAAGAAUGUUAAUUACUGGCAUACAGGAGUAGUAAUAACUUGAAAUUAAUGAUCCUUUUCUGGUGUCCCUUUUUUGAGAAUAAUUGACCCCUUCUGUUUCUCAAUAGAUAUUACAAAAUAUUGUAGAUAAUCAUGUUCAAAUACAUCAAUAAGUAAACUUUUAUACAAAUCCCCAUUGCGAAUACUAGUAUCUUAAUUUUGUGUGAUUGAAGACAGUAUUUUGUUAUUCUCUCUGAUUUUUUUCCUCAACAUUUUUAUCGACACAAAUACUUCAUAGUAGUGUUAUUAAGAAG
ensembl:lncRNA